CCCUUAGAUGUCCUGGGCCGCACGCGUGCUACACUGACACUUGCAACGAGUACUUUGCUUUACCGAAAGGUAAUGCUAAUCAUCAAUAAGUGUCGUGAUGGGGAUAGAUCUUUGGAAUUAUGGAUCUUGAACGAGGAAUGCCUAGUAAGCGUAGGUCAUUAGCCUACGCUGAUUAAGUCCCUGCCCUUUGUACACACCGCCCGUCGCUCCUACCGAUUGAAUGGUCCGGUGAAGCGUUCGGACCGUGGCCUUUGGACGGUUCGCCGUCUGUUGGCUGCGGGAAGUUCGUUAAACCUUAUCAUUUAGAGGAAGGAGAAGUCGUAACA
rnacentral:rRNA from 1 species